rnacentral:rRNA from 1 species
UUAAUGUCUGGGGAUCUGCCCGAUAGAGGGGGAUAACCACUGGUAAACGGUGGCCAAUACCGCAUGAACGUCGCAAAGACCAAAAGAGGGGGACCUUCGGGCCUCUCACUAUCGGAUGAACCCAGAUGGGAUUAGCUAGUAGGCGGGGUAAUGGCCCACCUAGGCGACGAUCCCUAGCUGGUCUGAGAGGAUGACCAGCCACACUGGAACUGAGACACGGUCCAGACUCCUACGGGAGGCAGCAGUGGGGAAUAUUGCACAAUGGGCGCAAGCCUGAUGCAGCCAUGCCGCGUGUAUGAAGAAGGCCUUCGGGUUGUAAAGUACUUUCAGCGGGGAGGAAGGCGACGGGGUUAAUAACCCUGUCGAUUGACGUUACCCGGCGGAGGAGCACACCGGCUAACUCCGUGCCAGCAGCCGCGGUAAUACGGAGGGUGCAAGCGUUAAUCGGAAUUACUGGGCGUAAAGCGCACGCAGGCGGUCUGUGAAGUCAGAUGUGAAAUCCCCGGGCUUAACCUGGGAACUGCAUUGAAAC